rnacentral:rRNA from 1 species
CAGCCGCCGCGGUAAUACGAAGGGGGCUAGCGUUGUUCGGAUUUACUGGGCGUAAAGCGCACGUAGGCGGACUUUUAAGUCAGGGGUGAAAUCCCGGGGCUCAACCCCGGAACUGCCUUUGAUACUGGGAGUCUUGAGUUCGGGAGAGGUGAGUGGAAUUGCGAGUGUAGAGGUGAAAUUCGUAGAUAUUCGCAGGAACACCAGUGGCGAAGGCGGCUCACUGGCUCGAUACUGACGCUGAGGUGCGAAAGCGUGGGGAGCAGACAGGAUUAGAUACCCCAGUAGUCCCUGUCUCUUAUAC